UGGGCUGAUACUGUUGUUGCAAACAGUGACAGCAGCACUUGUUCGGCAUCCAUCUAUCCAUCUCGAAGACCGGAGAAGACAAUAACGCAAGAAGCCGGACUGGCUUUGCUGGACGAGUUGACGUCUAUCUUUUAUUAUGAAUUUGUUGGUGUGUGGAAAACGUGUGAAAGUCGGCCGAAGAUCUCGGUGGUGUCACGAAUUUUUUCUGGGAAAUUGCUUUUGACUUUUUGAGUCGUUAAAAGUUCCGUGACAUUUGUCGGUUGGCUUCGGGAUUUUAACUGGACAGCAGCAGUUGGCAGUUGCGGCUUCGCACCUGUUCCCACUAAUUUUAUUAGAAGACAGUGUCGAAACGAAACGACUUUGACUUUCAGACCAACAUCAAACUCAACUGCCAAGCGAAAAAUUCAAGAAAAAUUCACAGCACCGAUUGUUUCACGCAAUGUACAUAGUACAAAAACAAUCCCUUUCUUUUUCUAUUUCCCUCACACACACACACACACACAAUUUUCCCAUUUUCGUCUUCGGGAGAUGUUCAGACAUCAUCGAGACCAUCUCGCUCGUAAAAACACGGCAACGGCUUGCAUUUCCCCUGGCCCCGUCGUGUAUAUGUAUAUAAGGACUGAUAACGUCAAGCUCUACUCUAUCGGUUGUAUCAUCGGUGAGUGCGCCAUUCGUCUCCAGCGACUUGUUCGGCACAGCCAAACAACGAGACGCAAAGCCCCUGAAAGGAAAAAAGGAGCUCGGCCUAUUCCAACAUUUAGCCCCAGACAUUGACAACCUGGAUAUUUAUGUAUACAUAUACACACAAACACACAUUCAAAGGCCUGAUGUGUAUAUCAUUUGAAAAAACAAACAAAACAAUUGCGUAUGUGAUGUUUACAUACGAAGUUGACGCCAGCACCGGGUGUGCAAUGUUUUUGUGUCGUCCUCUUUGUUCGUGUGCAUUGUUAUCAAGGACGGAACGGAAGUCGUUUCGUGAAACUAUAUAGAUGGGCAUCUGACUGACGCAACUGGGUCUAUAUAUCGCGUCCAUAGCGUGAACGCAUCAAGAGAGACGGUGAGGUCAGAUGGCGAGCAUUCGUUUUGCGCUGAAUUGGGCGGGGUUCUCUCUUGGUUGAUUUGGCCAACACGCCAAGACGUUUUCGUUUUCCUCCCGCCUGUCUAUGUACUGUACAUCGUUCUGCCUUGAAAGUUGAAAGAGUUGUUUGCCACCAUAUAACGCGGGAAGGACUUUUGCAGCGCCACAAUAGACAAAAACCCAAAAAUAAGAACCCAAAAAAAAAACUCAAAGAAGAAAAAUAUAAAUCAAUGGCCUCUCGUCUUUCAGUUCCUCCUCUUUGGCUUUAAAGAUAGACAUCAUACGUCUGAUGGCCGCAGACGCGGAGGCAGGAAACAACCAACUAGAAAAUGAAUAAUGAAAUCGAACCGGUCAUAUGCCGCCCCAUUGGAAACGCGCAUGAAAUCAUUGAUGGACGUGAAACGAUCAACGAAAUAAGUUUGUAUGUGUACAUUUUCGUCGGCUACUGGAAACGUUCCAUUUGACGGCCAUCUGACCCCUCUCCAUUUGAAAGAAAAAACCAACAAAAAUAAUCAUUGCCGAUUUGCCAUGUUGAGGAUCGAUUGUUUUAUUGUUUUCUGUUUUUUUCUUUUCUUUUCUCCAACGGGUUAUCAGAAAGCUACCGCUGCGGCGCCGGAUGACCUUUAGAACGAGUCGCCACAAAGUCGCUGUUCGAGUAAGAAAAUUUGACGUGCAAAAAGGGUACGAGGCAGGGUUUCGGUCAGUGCUCUGGCUGUUGUCGUCAUCAAACGUCUAUGUUGCGUCAACGCCACCCUUCUCGCUGCUGGACACGGGUCGUCCACUUAUAUAUAUAUCGUCGAAAAGAAAUUGCGUUUGGACGGGCCAUAUAUAUUUGUGAGCUGUAUAUAUACAGGACGCACACUGUCCGUCCUUGUUCCAGCCGUAUAAUAUCGGCAACCUUCUCGGUUCCCAGUAUGACUUUCACUCGGAGGACGCAAUUCAACAUUAGGCCACCUAACAUGACGUUACUGCAGCACAACCAGCAUCCAUCCAGCAAUACUCUGUGCCGUCUUCGUUAAAAUGGAACCUAUGGAUUUCUUUCGUUUGGCCAGCUCCCCCCCCUGUCUCGUAACGUAGAAUUUAAAGCGAAUAAACUAGUCAGCCAUACAUUGUCGUUCAAAUGGUUACAUCUAUACGUAAGAAGAAGACUCUUCUGUGUUAUGCUAUGUAUACCGUUCUAUGUGUAUGGACGCGUUCCCGAAACAUGGAUUGGAUGUUUAUAUGUAUUUUUAUACGGUGACCAAGAGUUAGACGUUGGAUUUGCAAGCUCGUUAACCUUUCACAAUUUUCUUCUGUUCGCUUUAUUUUAUUUUAUUUUUUUUCAAUUUGACCGAUCGUAUAUCCAUUUAGCUCUCUCGUAAAUGUAUUGACCUAUUAAAUUCUACUUGCUGUGAACGCAAUAUGUAAUUGGCAGUGCAAUCAUUUUGGGUGGUUGCGCAAUUUUACAACGGCGAGAUAAGAGACGUGUGAAAUAACCGGCUCUAUUUUUCAUUUUUAUUUUUUUAUAUGAUCUUGUUUUGGAAAGCGUUACGUGCAUCAAUCACAAUGCAACGCUGGCAAAAUUAUAAAAAAAAAUUAUUGGAAAAGGAAUCUGCUUAUAAGGGGCUCCCGUUUCAUUAAUCAAGUCAACCACUCCUAUAUAGUCUAUUCUUCUGUUGAAUAGCUAAUGAGGAUCUCCCACGUCGUUCCUUUACCUCUGCAACCUUAAAAAAGAAAAGAAAGAAAACUAGAAUUAAAUAUAUACAUAUACCUGAACUGGAUUCAUUUGGUUUUCCUACUCGAUACAUAUAUAUAUGUAUAAAUGUGUAUGUUGCAUGAUGCUCGAAGAAAAGCCAGCCAAUCCCAUUUCAACAUGUGACUCCAUUUGCUUAGUUAUCAAUUCACUGUCACACACAAAGUUUCUGUUUCUUUCCAGUUGGUCGACUCGAUUUUUCAAACAUUUUUUUUUGUGUGUUUCUCUCUCUUUCUCUGUGUGUGUGUUUUAUAGAAUUCAAGUCAAAAUGUCAGUCUCGUCCUUCCGUUUCUCCUCUUAUUAUAUUCAUUCUGUUUCCCCUUAAUAAGAUAAAGAGGAUUGCUGCAUACGGACGAACGUUUUAUACAGUCUAUAUGUACAUCACUAAAAUGUUUGCAUUUUGUGUGUGUGUGUGUGUAGCUCCAUCUAUAAUAGCGUCGACAGUAUGGCACGCACGUCCAUCAUGUCUUUUACUUAUUUUCGGCUUUUACCAUUCACGAAUGUAAAACCCACCCUCUGUGCUGUCCCCCCCACCUUCCCGGUUUGAAAUUCAAUUCGGUUGGCCAUCAGUUGUGUAUGUACAUAUUGAAGAGAAGGCCGAUCGAAGAAGCUGAUGGACGUUAUACACUGCAAGAAGAAGGAACUAUUUUUUUUUAUUUGUGAAAAAGGAGAAAGAAAUCGAUACUUAUAUGAUGCUGCUACUGUGUAUAUGUAUAUACGGAAAUAAAGUUUGAAGCAGGCGA